rnacentral:lncRNA from 1 species
GUGAGGGAGCUCAGCAGCAGGUUCUCCCCUAGUGGAGCCUUGAUGGGGCUGCAGCCCCGGCCAACAGCUUGACUGCAACCUCAUGAGCGACCUGGAGCCAGAGGCAGCCUGCUAAGCUGCUCCUGGAUUCCUGACACACACAGGCUGUGAGACCAUCGAUGCCUGUUGUUUCAAGCUGUUAACUUGCUGAGUGACUGUCAGAUGCUGAGCACUGUCCCAGGUUCUGAAAAUAAAGACCUCGAGACUCUACUGCCAUCUUGGUUUACACGGUUUGAUGAAGCAAGCUAUGUUCUGGAGAUGCCCACAUGGCAAGGAACUAAAGGUGGCUUCUAGCCAACAGCCAGCUAAGAACUGAAGCCCUCAGUCCAACGACCCUCAAGGAACUGAAUCCUGCCAACAACAUGGGAGCUGGGAAGCAGCUCCUUCCCCAGUUAAACGUUCAGCUGAAACCCCAGCCUGGCUGACACCUUGGUUACAGCUCCUGAGAGACCCUGAGCCAUGCCCAGAUGAUAACGGACACUUUGAGAUGAUAAUUGUGUUGUUUUAAGCUGCUAAAUUUGGGUGUAAUUAUUGUGCAUCAAUAGAUAAUAUGCUCUCCCAUGGCAAACCAUUCAAACAAUGCAAGUAACUGCAUCUCACAGAAAGAAU